GAUGAACGCUGGCGGCGUGCCUAAUACAUGCAAGUCGAGCGAAUGGAUUAAGAGCUUGCUCUUAUGAAGUUAGCGGCGGACGGGUGAGUAACACGUGGGUAACCUGCCCAUAAGACUGGGAUAACUCCGGGAAACCGGGGCUAAUACCGGAUAACAUUUUGAACCGCAUGGUUCGAAAUUGAAAGGCGGCUUCGGCUGUCACUUAUGGAUGGACCCGCGUCGCAUUAGCUAGUUGGUGAGGUAACGGCUCACCAAGGCAACGAUGCGUAGCCGACCUGAGAGGGGGAUCGGCCACACGGGGACUGAGAAGCGGCCCAGACUCCUACGGGAGGCAGCAGUAGGGAAUCUUCCGCAAUGGACGAAAGUCUGACGGAGCAACGCCGCGUGAGUGAUGAAGGCUUUCGGGUCGUAAAACUCUGUUGUUAGGGAAGAACAAGUGCUAGUUGAAUAAGCUGGCACCUUGACGGUACCUAACCAGAAAGCCACGGCUAACUACGUGCCAGCCGCCGCAGUAA
rnacentral:rRNA from 1 species